AUGAGGACUGCAUUAGAGACUUUUUAAAUGAAGCGCCGAAGAAGCAAAACAGAAAUUUCAUCUUGUUUCUGUGGAAACUGACAGGCAAAAGGAGGGCAGUCUGACG
rnacentral:ncRNA from 22 species